rnacentral:rRNA from 1 species
GACGAACGCUGGCGGCGUGCUUAACACAUGCAAGUCGAACGGAAAGGCCCCUUUGGGGGUACUCGAGUGGCGAACGGGUGAGUAACACGUGAGUAACCUGCCCUUGACUUCGGGAUAACUUCAGGAAACUGGGGCUAAUACCGGAUAGGAAUCCUUGCUGCAUGGUGGGGGUUGGAAAGCUUCGGCGGUUUUGGAUGGACUCGCGGCUUAUCAGCUUGUUGGUGGGGUAGUGGCUUACCAAGGCUUAGACGGGUAGCCGGCCUGAGAGGGCGACCGGCCACAUUGGGACUGAGAUACGGCCCAGACUCCUACGGGAGGCAGCAGUGGGGAAUAUUGCACAAUGGGCGGAAGCCUGAUGCAGCAACGCCGCGUGCGGGAUGACGGCCUUCGGGUUGUAAACCGCUUUCAGCAGGGGCGAAGCUUGUGGUGACGGUACCUGCAGAAGAAGCACCGGCUAACUACGUG